rnacentral:rRNA from 1 species
ACCGGCCACCAUCACCCCGAAGGGAUCCGGUUGAUCCGGGUUAGGACUCUUAGCACCACUGGAUUAGCUUGGGCGGUUGUUCGCCGGUACGGGAAUAUCAACCCGUUGUCCAUCGACUACGCCUGUCGGCCUCGCCUUGGUCCCGACUUACCCAGGGCGGAUUAACCUGGCCCUGGAACCCUUGGUCUUUCGGAGGACGGGUUUCUCACCCGUCUUUCGCUACUCAUGCCUGCAUUCUCACUCGUGUAGCGUCCACGGCUGGACCACCUCCUUUAUGCACAAUGGGCGAAAGCCUGAUGCAGCAACGCCGCGUGAGGGAUGACGGCCUUCGGGUUGUAAACCUCUUUUAGUAGGGAAGAAGCGAAAGUGACGGUACCUGCAGAAAAAGCACCGGCUAACUACGUGCCAGCAGCCGCGGUAAUACGUAGGGUGCAAGCGUUGUCCGGAAUUAUUGGGCGUAAAGAGCUCGUAGGCGGUUUGUCGCGUCUGCUGUGAAAUCCCGAGGCUCAACCUCGGGCUUGCAGUGGGUACGGGCAGACUAGAGUGCGGUAGGGGAGAUUGGAAUUCCUGGUGUAGCGGUGGAAUGCGCAGA